rnacentral:rRNA from 1 species
UAGGGAAUCUUCGGCAAUGGGGGGAACCCUGACCGAGCAACGCCGCGUGAGUGAAGAAGGUUUUCGGAUCGUAAAGCUCUGUUGUUAAGGAAGAACGAGUGUGAGAAUGGAAAGUUCAUGCUGUGACGGUACUUAACCAGAAAGGGACGGCUAACUACGUGCCAGCAGCCGCGGUAAUACGUAGGUGGCAAGCGUUGUCCGGAUUUAUUGGGCGUAAAGCGAGCGCAGGCGGUCAAUUAAGUCUGAUGUGAAAGCCCCCGGCUCAACCGGGGAGGGUCAUUGGAAACUGGUUGACUUGAGUGCAGAAGAGGAGAGUGGAAUUCCAUGUGUAGCGGUGAAAUGCGUAGAUAUAUGGAGGAACACCGGUGGCGAAAGCGGCUCUCUGGUCUGUAACUGACGCUGAGGCUCGAAAGCGUGGGGAGCGAACAGG